GACGAACGCUGGCGGCGUGCCUAAUACAUGCAAGUCGAACGCUUCUUUCCUCCCGAGUGCUUGCACUCAAUUGGAAAGCGGAGUGGCGGACGGGUGAGUAACACGUGGGUAACCUACCCAUCAGAGGGGGAUAACACUUGGAAACAGGUGCUAAUACCGCAUAACAGUUUAUGCCGCAUGGCAUAAGAGUGAAAGGCGCUUUCGGGUGUCGCUGAUGGAUGGACCCGCGGUGCAUUAGCUAGUUGGUGAGGUAACGGCUCACCAAGGCCACGAUGCAUAGCCGACCUGAGAGGGUGAUCGGCCACACUGGGACUGAGACACGGCCCAGACUCCUACGGGAGGCAGCAGUAGGGAAUCUUCGGCAAUGGACGAAAGUCUGACCGAGCAACGCCGCGUGAGUGAAGAAGGUUUUCGGAUCGUAAAACUCUGUUGUUAGAGAAGAACAAGGACGUUAGUAACUGAACGUCCCCUGACGGUAUCUAACCAGAAAGCCACGGCUAACUACGUG
rnacentral:rRNA from 1 species